UACGUAGGGUCCGAGCGUUGUCCGGAAUUAUUGGGCGUAAAGGGCUCGUAGGCGGUUUGUCGCGUCGGGAGUGAAAACUCAGGGCUCAACCCUGAGCGUGCUUCCGAUACGGGCAGACUAGAGGUAUGCAGGGGAGAACGGAAUUCCUGGUGUAGCGGUGGAAUGCGCAGAUAUCAGGAGGAACACCGGUGGCGAAGGCGGUUCUCUGGGCAUUACCUGACGCUGAGGAGCGAAAGCAUGGGGAGCGAACAGGAUUAGAUACCCUGGUAGUCC
rnacentral:rRNA from 1 species